GGGCGAUUAGCUCAGCAGGUUAGAGCGCCACGCUCACAUCGUGGAGGUCAGCCGUUCAAAUCGGCUAUCGCCCACCA
rnacentral:tRNA from 1 species